GGAAUUAACAUUUGUAUCCUUUCCAUGGAAUACUUGUUAAGAAUACAUCAAACGCAUGCGGUACAAAUGAAUACUUCGAGGACAGCCUGAUGAUUACAUGACACCUGGAGAUUUCCACGGGGACCUGUGUGGCUUGCAGUUCCGGUUCUGUCCUCUCCGGGGCUUGGGAAGGUUCCACCCAGCUGGACCCUGCCCACGGGCCCACCUGGUACCGUGUAUGGAGAGGUGAACACGGCUCCCAAGGCCAAGCAUGACAGAACUGGGCAGAAAGAGACUCGGACCAUUUUUCAGGAGCGAUGACCAUCUACGGACAAGGCCAACCAGCCUUCCUGUCCUAAGAGUCCCAUUUGCCCAAUAAAACUACUUAAAUAAAAG
rnacentral:lncRNA from 1 species